rnacentral:rRNA from 1 species
AUUGAACGCUGGCGGCAUGCUUUACACAUGCAAGUCGAACGGCAGCACGGGGGCAACCCUGGUGGCGAGUGGCGAACGGGUGAGUAACACAUCGGAACGUGUCCAGUUGUGGGGGAUAACCCAUCGAAAGGUGGGCUAAUACCGCAUGAGCUGGCAACAGGAAAGCGGGGGACCCGCAAGGGCCUUGUGCGAUUGGAGCGGCCGAUGUCCGAUUAGCUAGUUGGUGGGGUAAAGGCCUACCAAGGCUUCGAUCGGUAGCUGGUCUGAGAGGAUGAUCAGCCACACUGGGACUGAGACACGGCCCAGACUUCUACGGGAGGCAGCAGUGGGGAAUCUUGGACAAUGGGCGCAAGCCUGAUCCAGCCAUGCCGCGUGGGUGAAGAA